UACGGAGGGUCCAAGCGUUAUCCGGAUUUAUUGGGUUUAAAGGGUGCGCAGGUUGUUUGAUAAGUCAGUGGUGAAAGUCUGUCGCUUAACGGUAGGAUUGCCAUUGAUACUGUUGGACUUGAAUAUGGAUGAGGUAGGCGGAAUGUGUAGUGUAGCGGUGAAAUGCGUAGAUAUGCGGAGGAACACCGAUGGCGAAGGCAGCCUCCUGGGAUAACACUGACGCUCAUGCACGAAAGCGUGGGGAGCAAACAGGAUUAGA
rnacentral:rRNA from 1 species